AGGAGGAGGAGGAGGAGGGGAGGGGGGCAGUGGGGGAGGAAGGACUAGGACCAGGCCCCGAGACAGUUCUGGUCCCGAAUUUGACCAGCCAAUUCCAGUUUGUUUCUGGGCCCAACCCAGACUGUGGCUAGAUCUGUCAUGGUGAGACACCUUUCUCCAUUCCUCAGUCUAGCAGCAGACAACCAUAGGCAUUUAAACAUCAGCAGAAUUCUGAAUCA
rnacentral:misc_RNA from 1 species